rnacentral:siRNA from 1 species
UUGGCCAAUCAUAGUCCAUA